UCCCAGCAAGACUGGGCAUGACGCGUUUUGGGGACGAUACAGUGAUAGUUGUAUAGGUUGUAUGUUCACGUUGACUUCAGCAACUAUGAAGCUCCUUGCUCUUGUGUGUCUCUGUGUCCUGACUCGGUCCGGAUUCACGUCAGCGGAUGAAAACGAUGGUGUCUUAAAAGACAGAUCACAGGAAAACAUCCCAGGUGCAGCUCCAGAGCCGUACAUAAAGAUACAUGAAGCAAGGGACUGGUCAUUGCUGAUGUGUGAAGUUCGAGGGGCUUUUCCAAAACCUAAAGUAGAGUGGAAGAGCGGUGCUGGAAACAUCAUUCGUGCUGAGCAGACAGAGGUCUCAGAUAAAGGAGGCAGCUUCGACAUCACUGUCUCAAUAACUGCAAACAAGAGUGACUACUAUCGGUGUGUAGUCACACAGGAGGAAAUCAAGCAUCGGAUUUCUGCUGAAACUUAUCUGUAUUUCGAGAGUGCAGCUUCAAAACCAUCCAUCACUACACUUGAGCAAACAAAGGACUGGUCACUGCUGCAGUGUGAAGUCCGAAGCCCUUCUUCAAGACCAAAAGUAGAGUGGCAGGACAGCGCUGGAAACAAACUUCCUGCUGAAGACACAUCGUCUAGACUAAUACCAGACCGUUUUACUCUACAAACUACUGUGACCAAGACUGACUACUAUCGCUGUGUAGCCACACAGGAGGAAAUCAACCAUCAGAUUUCCGCUAAGACAUAUGUGUAUAUCGUGUUCUAACGUGGUCUGCUCCAACAUCACCCUCCAAACUUGUGAGACCAAAACUACAACCAACCCCCAAGCUGUGCUGCCAAGCAGGAGGAAGCUGUCAAUAAAUAGUCUGUGUGGAGACUGUGAUGUCCAGUCUGAUGUAGAUGAUAUACAGUUACACUCUGAGUCUUCAUGUUACUUUGACUUUUUGCCUUCUGUUUCAGGGUCCUCCACUGGAUGGAUUGUUGCAGUUAUAAUUCUUGCCAUUGCAGUUGUCAUUCUAGCUGCAGUUGUAGCCAAGCUUUGCAUCACACUAAAAAGUAACUAAGGUUAAACAACAGAGACAACAGUACCCCUCAACUCCUGAUAUCGGCCAAUUUUGUUGGCUGACUAAUAUAUCGGUUGGGCUCUAAUCCAGACAUAUCCUGAGGUAAAGCUUGAUGUUAUCAAGUUUAACUGUUGUACUGUUGAACCAAGGGUGCAAUGCAUGCUUUUGAACCCUCGUAGAACAGGGCCUACCAAAAGUCAUACCUGAGACAAUAUGCACGAUGCUGUAUUAUUCUACUUAUUAAAAAGUACUGCAGUGAGAUUAUGUGUACAGUAGAACUAGAAUAACAACAUAAAUGUUAAUGAGCAGGGCCUCACAUGUCAAAUCCCCAUGCAACCAUUCUGCAUUUUGGUACAUAUAUACUAUGUCUUCAUAUAAAUGCAUGCUUGUUAUAAUUUCUGCAAUACCUCAUGUGUCAUAAUAACUUGUCAGAAAUUGAUUGCCAUGUGGGAGUUUAUUUCAUUUUAAUCUUACGGGUUUUAUUCUGUGAUUGAUGUCAGGUUUUAGGUAUCGUUCCGCAGGUGAGAGAGCCCAACUUUCAAAUAUGUGAAGUAAUGUGAAGUAAACAAUAUUAAUUCUAAUUCUAUAAAAUCAAAACCCAAAGUUUUACCCAAAGUCGGCACCUUGUCCUCUUGAUUUCUCCUUUUUGAGGAUCCAGUUGAAUUCUGGACCUGGAUCUACCAUAAAUUAGUGAGUGCUGAAUUGCUUCACACUCUUCCCAGGGGCAUCUUUAACUUUCAACUGCUGAACGGUGCAUUAAUCCAUCAAAUCAGUUUUAUUGGUAAACAUCAAGGAUAUCAUUUACAGAUGUUACCAAGUCUACACAGCGGCCCUCUUUCAUUCAUAAAUCCUUCAUUCUUGUGUUCGUGGCACUGACUUAUUCCUCAUUUAUUUGUCAUUUAUUCAUGUAUUUGUCUGGUAAGUAAUGUAGUUUGUAGUUCAAUAAACAUUUCAUUUAUGAAGAACUUGAUCCUGUGAUUUUUGUGUGAAUUAAAUAUAAAGGGUUCCUCAAGUAAAAGUGAAAUU